UUUCAUUCCUUGCUUAUUCUCUCAGUAGCUGUAAUAGGUAUUCAGGGGUGGGGGCUUUGAAUAGCCAUUCCAUUCCUUGCUAUUCCCUCACCGUUUAUUGAUUUCACAUUUUGAGACCAAAAUUUUGCUCCAGAUUUCAUAUCCCCAAAUCAAGCAUCGAUUCACCUUCAUCUUCAUCUCCCCAAAGGCAGGUUUUCACAAUUUUUUGCAGUUCUCGGGUAAGAAUAGUCAUUUUGUUUAGGGCUUUACUAUUCUUUCGCUUCUUGCAGCGAUUGACAAACAAUAGCGAGAAUGGGGGUAAUCUUUUUCUGCCCUCAUCAAGCUUCAUCCUCUUCGGCGUUUCCCUUCCAUUGAUUGCAGAGGUAAUCUUUUUACUUCUUUUCUUCAUUGAUUUUUCCUUCUUACACUUGGGAACUUAAAACCGAUUUCUGCCCUUAGCUUCAUCUUUUCCUACGUUUCUUUUCUUCAUUUUAUCAGGAACGAAAAAUGUUUUUUCACUCUUUGCUUAAAACCGAUUUCUUGGGUUAGGGCAGGGAAGAUAAUUUUUUCUUUUCUUUCUACUCCUAACUCUACAGCAGCCUGACAGGUCAUUACCAUCACUCUUUAGCAACUCGCACUCUUUCCUUGUUUAUUUUACAGGUUAGUUUUGCUUUUCCUCAAAUCUGCAAUAUUUGUUAUAUUAUUCACCAAAAUAUAUCUGAAUAUUUUGUUCUCCUAAUUUUGAUUCUUUUUUUAUGAUUUCCAUUAGGCUUUUCUUUGACUGUUUCUAUUGCAUGUUCGAUUGAACAGAUGAAAAGUUUUUCAAGGUGGUUCUAUUACUUGUUUAUUCUAUUGCAUGUUUGACUGAUUCUAUUGUUUUCCGAAUGGCUUGUGAUUUCGACUAGUUGAGUUAUAUUUUAUUUGCAUUUCUUGAAAUUUCGUAAUGUUAACAUGGAGUUCAUGUUUUGGUUUAUGUAUUAAGUUGAUGUUUUUCUUUAGAGAAGAUUGAUUAGUUGGGUGAGAGUCAGGAUUUAAUGUGUUAUAAUGUUCAUGUUUUGGUUUCUAUAUUAAGUUCAUGUCUUUCUGUAUUAAGUUGAUGUAUGGCAAACAUAGACAAUUCACACACACAAAAAAAGAGAUGAGUCAGAACAACAUAGGUAUAACAAAUCUGGGAGUUUGUUAAUCAUACACAUUCGUUUGGAACUACUUUGCUUUUGAAAGGGUUUCCCUUGUUUGUGAAGAAAUUCAAUAGGACGAAGUGUUGAUUUGUUAAUGGAUAUGAAAAUUUAGUUAUGAGUUGUGGUUCAUUGCGCUUACUGAAUCUGCUCACCUUGUUCUAUUUUUUAUAUCAUGCAUCGACUACUUAUGUUAAACUUUCCCUGUUUUUAUUUAUUCACCAUGAGCUAUAUUGAUCAAGUUUUAAGAGUUGAUUUCUGCUGAGAAUAUGCGCAACUAGUGUUUCGACUAACUUGUUUGUUUCAUUUCUUGUUUGAUUAUUUGUUUAGUUGAGUAAGGUGGUUGUAAUAGUUAGUGCAAAUCAGUUUUGAGUGACUAUUGUGAGUUGUGGGAUUGUUAAUUAUUUAUCGGGGCUGCAUAGACUUACUUGGAGAAAAAGUUGUGAGCUUUAGCUGAUGGGGAAGAACUGUACUCUCGUUUCAUUUGAUGAUUGAAUAAAAACAAAUAUUGGUUGUGUUGCUUCUUUUUUCUCUAUGUUAUUAUUUUAAACAGUUUAUUGUUUUUUCUGUUUUAACUAUUAUUUUUCAUUUAUUAUUCAAGUUUUAAUUUAAUUGUUAUGGAUUGGUUUUAUGUAUUUGUUUUUCAAUUUAUUAAAUAAUGCAUGUUUAAUUUUUGUAAUUCAUGUAAAGUUUGGAUAUUGACUAAUUUUAAUUUACCAAAUUAUAUCAUAACCUGCUUUCAUUUUUCGUUUUACUUCAUUUGUGAAUCUGAUUUUGUUUACAAGUUUAAAUUUGCGGAC
rnacentral:lncRNA from 1 species